UCGAAAUCGGUAGACGCUACGGACUUCCGUUGGCUUUAUUGACCGUGAGGGUUCAAGUCCCUCUACCCCCA
rnacentral:tRNA from 2 species